rnacentral:misc_RNA from 1 species
GUAGAUCGUUCCCAGAAGUUGAUUACGAAACGUCUUGAGUUUUUCCAUACUGAGGAAAAUUUACUAACGAAAAAGCGACUAUACUGCCUACAAAUUGUUAUUUUUGAGAAAAGGAAUUUGUGUUUACGAAUCAAAUAAGAAAAUGAAAGCUAAAAUUUGUCAACCUCGUACUGCUGGAGCUAUGAGAGAAGGUGGUGUGAAGAAAUCACAUGCUACACACGUAAUCGAUGGUGAAAUGGCCUCUUACUUUGCCAAAUUACGAGAUCUCGUACCUACAAUACCUAACGACAAGAAGGUCAGCAAAGUACAACUCCUACAACACGUUAUUGACUAUAUUUUCGAUCUGGAAAUGACGCUCGAACUCGACUGUUCACCCUGCCUGCCUACUGAAGGACGAACGCCUUUAGGCGAAAACCCAAUGAAUUUACCAUUUCACCGGUUAACGACAACCGACAUUCAACCAUUUUAAUCAUUAUAUAUAGAGAAACGCUGGUACUAAUCAGCGUUUUUCUGGAUAUCUCAACCGUCCUUUAAUUGGUAAGUUGAAUUUUCCUAUUUAUAUUUAUACAUAAGUUUGUUUAGCAAGUAAAUGAAUAUAUUUAUAUCGACGCGACGUCACAUUGUGCAGUCAGCUAGGCAACGAAAGUCUAUGCAGCGUUAGUAAUGACCGCCGUCACCAUAGCGACGGGCGUCAAUAAAACAAUUGCUUAGCGCAUACAAGUUGGUUCUAGUCCCCGGAGAAAUCUUCUAGGCGACUAGAUAUGCGCCAAGCGAGAUUCUUCUUUGAUUGCGUCGUCUCGCGUGACUGUAAUACGCUGUAAGACGGCGCUCUUGUAGCAAAAAAGUAAAGAAGGAAAAAAAUUCGAUUACGAGUGACGACGUCAGGUUCGGCCGCGACGACCUGAUUAGAUUUGCAUUUUUUUGCACCGGGGGCUAACGCUUGCCCGUUUCACUCAUAAAAAAUCCGGUCUUAAGCACCCGUCUCAGAAAACUCCCUACUAGGGCUUUUUAUUUCCUUUUUGUUAGAAGACGUCUCGUUCCCGCACCUGUUUUAUUGAUUCGAUUAUUUAUUCUUUUGCAGCGAGCUGGUUUCGCUCUCACGGUCGUCAAUGUCGAGAAAUCCAGCCGGAUCUGGAAAACAGGCGAGUGCAAUAUAUAUGAAGUGAUCUGGAAAAAGAGAGACGUCUACCGGUUUACUUAGUACAAGAAAAAUUAUUGUAAUAUAGUUUGUUUUCAUUCUUUUAAGACAAAAUAAUAGUUUGUUUAAGAAUUAUUCAAGUGUAAAAACUAAAUUGCUUUUACGAAUAGUUGAAUACAAAAAAAUGACAUCAA